AGUGGUGUCCUCAUGAGUUCUAGCAAGAGUGCUUUUGUUUGUGGAUUUUUUGUUGUUGUUUGUUUGUUUUCGAAACAGGGUUUCUUUGUGCAGUCCUGGCUGUCCUGGAACUCCCUCUGUAGACCAGGCUGGCCUCGAACUCAGAAAUCUGCCUGCCUCCACCUCACAAGUGCUGGGAUUAAAGGUGUGUGUUACCACUGCCCGGCUGCAGGAGUGUUUUUAAAGAGUUUUGGAAUCUCAGGUGUGAGCGAGCCGCAGUAAGGGUCUGAGUUGGGUUUGGUUUGGUCUUUUGGGGGGUUACUAGUUAAAGACCAUCCUUCACAUACAUCAUCAGGCGUGUGUCCAGACACUGGAGUCCAUCCUUGCAACGUUUUUUGAAGACAAGGACUCCCCUCGCCCCUGCAGAAGAUCACAGACGACCAUCAAAGGACCUCCCAGUAUCUCAGUGCUCAGCAAAAGGAGUUUGCUCUCUCUGGAUCGGCAUCUUGUGCGUCCACUUCCUCAGGUGCCUGAGCUCUGAGGAUCUGAACGGUUGAAGACUCAUUUCUUCCUUAUUGAAAUACUUGGCAGGGGGGAGGGUGUCCCUUUCCACAGCCCCUAGUAUAACUUCUAUGUCAAAAGGAAGUUCCAUAUUAAAGUCCAGGACUCUGUGGUA
rnacentral:lncRNA from 1 species